rnacentral:rRNA from 1 species
GACGAACCGUACGAACGUUAUUCGGAAUUACUGGGCUUAAAGGGUUUGUAGGCGGCCUUGUAAGUCAGGUGUGAAAUCCCUCGGCUCAACCGAGGAAUGGCGCUUGAUACUGCAAGGCUUGAGGGAGACAGGGGUAAGCGGAACUGAUGGUGGAGCGGUGAAAUGCGUUGAUAUCAUCAGGAACACCGGUGGCGAAAGCGGCUUACUGGGUCUCUUCUGACGCUGAGGAACGAAAGCUAGGUAGCGAACGGG